rnacentral:rRNA from 1 species
CACGUAGGGCGCAAGCGUUGUCCGGAAUUAUUGGGCGUAAAGAGCUCGUAGGCGGCUUGUUGCGUCGACCGUGAAAACCCGUGGCUCAACUGCGGGCUUGCGGUCGAUACGGGCGGGCUAGAGUCCGGUAGGGGAGUGUGGAAUUCCCGGUGUAGCGGUGAAAUGCGCAGAUAUCGGGAGGAACACCAGUAGCGAAGGCGGCACUCUGGGCCGUGACUGACGCUGAGGAGCGAAAGCGUGGGUAGCAAACAGG